AGAACGUCGUGAGACAGUUCGGUCCCUAUCUGUUGUGGGCGUAGGAAAUUUGAGGAGCUCUGUCCUUAGUACGAGAGGACCGGGAUGGACAUACCGCUGGUGCACCAGUUGUUCCGCCAGGAGCAUAGCUGGGUAGCCAAGUAUGGAUCGGAUAAACGCUGAAGGCAUCUAAGCGUGAAACCGGCUCCAAGAUGAGAUUUCCCAUUCCUAGUGAAGUAAGACCCCUUGAAGACGACGAGGUUGAUAGGUCAGAGAUGGAAGCGCAGCAAUGCGUGCAGUUGACUGAUACUAAUAGGUCGAGGAUUUAAUCACAA
rnacentral:rRNA from 1 species